AAUGAAGCCGGGAAACCGGUCCUUCUAACCCUUGAUUAUAAUAAUUUGUUGCUUUGGUGGGCCGCGCAAGCACCGGCUUCGGCUGGAUCGUGCCCGCCAGAGGACCACAACUCUGUAUCAAAUGUCGUCUGAUUACUAUUUAAUAGUUAAAACUUUCAACAACGGAUCUCUUGGUUCU
rnacentral:misc_RNA from 1 species